GACGAACGCUGGCGGCGUGCUUAACACAUGCAAGUGGAGCGACGAACCAGGGCUUGCCCUGGGGCAGAGCCGCGAACGGGUGAGUAACACGUGGGUAACCUACCCCGAUGACCGGGACAACCCGAGGAAACUCGGGCUAAUACCGGAUGUUCUCGUUUUUCGUAAGGGAAACGAGCAAAGAUAGCUUCGGCCUUCGCAUCGGGACGGGCCCGCGGCCCAUUAGCUUGUUGGUGGGGUAACGGCCUACCAAGGCGACGAUGGGUAGCUGGUCUGAGAGGACGAUCAGCCACACUGGGACUGAGACACGGCCCAGACUCCUACGGGAGGCAGCAGUGGGGAAUCUUGCGCAAUGCGCGAAAGCGUGACGCAGCAACGCCGCGUGGGGGAAGAAGGCCUUCGGGUUGUAAACCCCUUUCAGUUGGGACGAAGCUUCGCGGGUUAACAGCCUGCUGGAGUGACGGUACCUUCAGAAGAAGCCCCGGCUAACUACGUGCCAGCCGCCGCCGUAAAAC
rnacentral:rRNA from 1 species